rnacentral:snRNA from 1 species
UAUCGAAAUAUUCUAGAG